AUACUGGAAGAAGAAAACUCUGGUGCUUCAGGAGGGGUCUGCGUCCGAUUAGCUAGUUGGUGAGGUAAAGGCUCACCAAGGCGACGAUCGGUAGCUGGUCUGAGAGGACGAUCAGCCACACGGGAACUGAGACACGGUCCCGACUCCUACGGGGGGCAGCAGUGAGGAAUAUUGCCCAAUGGGGGAAACCCUGAGGCAGCAACGCCGCGUGGAGGAAGAAGGUCUUUACGAUCGUAAACUUCUUUUGUGAGGGAAGAGGAAGGACGGUACCUCAUGAAUAAGUCACGGCUAACUACGUGCCAGCAGCCGCGGUAAUACGUAGGUGACGAGCGUUAUCCGGAAUUACUGGGCGUAAAGCGUACGCAGGCGGCAUGGUAAGUCUGACGUGAAAUCUCCUGGCUUAACUGGGAGAGGUCGUUGGAGACUGCUGUGCUUGAGACAAUGAGAGGGGUGCAGAAUUCCCGGUGUAGUGGUGGAAUGCGUAGAUAUC
rnacentral:rRNA from 1 species